AACGAACGCUGGCGGCAUGCCUAACACAUGCAAGUCGAACGAUCCCUUCGGGGAUAGUGGCGCACGGGUGCGUAACGCGUGGGAACCUGCCCUUAGGUUCGGAAUAACUCAGAGAAAUUUGAGCUAAUACCGGAUAAUGUCUUCGGACCAAAGAUUUAUCGCCUUUGGAUGGGCCCGCGUUGGAUUAGCUAGUUGGUGGGGUAAAGGCCUACCAAGGCGACGAUCCAUAGCUGGUCUGAGAGGAUGAUCAGCCACACUGGGACUGAGACACGGCCCAGACUCCUACGGGAGGCAGCAGUGGGGAAUAUUGGACAAUGGGCGAAAGCCUGAUCCAGCAAUGCCGCGUGAGUGAUGAAGGCCUUAGGGUUGAAAAGCUCUUUUACCCGGGAUGAUAAUGACAGUACCGGGAGAAUAAGCCCCGGCUAACUCCGUG
rnacentral:rRNA from 1 species